AAACGUACGCUGGGCGGCCACGGCCUAACACAAUGCCAAGUCGAACGAAGGUAGCAAUACUUUAGUGGGCAGACGGGGUGAGGUAACAUGUAAGGUAUCUUGCCCUUUUGGGCCUGGGAAUUAACACCGAAGGAAAACUUGUGCUAAUACCGGGAUAAAGUCUUUACGGAGAAAGCUUUUAUGCACCAUUGGAGGAGCCUGCACUAGAUUAGUUUGUUGGUGGGGUAAUGGCCUACCAAGACUGUGAUCUAUAGCUGAUUUGAGAGGAUGAUCAGCCACAUUGGGACUGAGACACGGCCCAAACUCCUACGGGAGGCAGCAGUGGGGAAUCUUGCACAAUGGAGGAAACUCUGAUGCAGCGAUGCCGCGUGAGUGAAGAAGGCCUUUGGGUUGUAAAGCUCUUUCGUCGGGGAAGAAAAUGACUGUACCCGAAUAAGAAGGUCCGGCUAACUUCGUGCCAGCAGCCGCGGUAAUACGAAGGGACCUAGCGUAGUUCGGAUUUACUGGGCUUAAAGAGUUCGUAGGUGGUUGAAAAAGUUGGUGGUGAAAUCCCAGAGCUUAACUCUGGAACUGCCAUCAAAACUUUUCAGCUAGAGUAUGAUAGAGGAAAGCAGAAUUUCUAGUGUAGAGGUGAAAUUCGUAGAUAUUAGAAAGAAUACCAAUUGCGAAGGCAGCUUUCUGGAUCAUACUGACACUGAG
rnacentral:rRNA from 1 species